rnacentral:rRNA from 1 species
UAAGACGAAGGUGGCUAGCGUUGUUCGGAAUCAUUGGGCUUAAAGAGCAUGUAGGCGGCCCGACAAGCGUCGUGUGAAAUCCCUCGGCCCAACCGAGGAACUGCACGGCGAACUGUCAGGCUUGAGGCAAGUAGGGGCGUGUGGAACUCUUGGUGGAGCGGUGGAAUGCGUAGAUAUCAAGAGGAACACCGGUGGCGAAGGCGACACGCUGGGCUUGUCCUGACGCUGAGAUGCGAAAGCCAGGGUAGCGAACGGGAUUAGAUACCCCGGUAGUCCUGGCCCUAAACGAUGUCAACUAGGUCGGAGGUUCUCUGACGGGGUUCCGGCCGGAGCGAAAGUGAUAAGUUGACCGCCUGGGGAGUACGGUCGCAAGGCUA